rnacentral:lncRNA from 1 species
AAUACAGACAUUGGGAAGGGAGACUGCUGUCACAGGUCUAUGGUUAUGUCAGUAACAAGAUUUUUAUUUUUUGUUUUCCUCGUUUGGAUUUGGCAGAAGGGCUCCUUGAUUCUGCUUGGCCAGAUCACACAGAUCUGCAGGUUUCCACCCUGAUUCUUUAGGUCCAAUGUAGAGAAGAAGUCAAAGCUGAUGCAAGAAAAGGGGGCAGAAGAGUGAAAUAGCAGAGACUUUUGGCAAGACACACUCAAUGAACACUGCAGUCUUCCUGGAAGCAAGUCCAGGUCCCACAGUCAGUGAGCGCCACACUGGCCACCUGGACUGGAGUGUUUUAGCCAUCAGGCUGAGCUCCAGAGGAUGGACAGCAAACAGGACAGCAUUGGCAGGAAUUUGAGAUGCAGCUUCCUGUGUCUGCAAAGGGUCUUAGUGCUUGUGAAAAGCAGGACAAACAGAGGUGGGAUGUUCCCUGGACAAACUGCUUAGCACACUGCCUCCAUCACGCAGUACUCAAGUCCUGAUGUGAUGGCUUCCCCUCUCAGGAUCUGUG